UUCGGGUAACAUGAGUUGCCUCUCACUCAUACGUCUUCCUUAUCUAUGUGAGCACAUCUGCCGGGCUCAGGCAUGUGGUCUCGGAUUACGACAGUCGCCGAACGGAGAAAGUUGGAGGUUUGCAUCAAUUUUUUUCCUGCCAAAUUUUUGAUGUUACCAAUUAUCAGCAUGAACUGGGUCACAGGCGGUCUCUAGUUUGUGGUCGGAGCAUGUGAUGAGCUCUGCAGCGCCGCGUAUCUGAUGACAGCGCAGCCAAAUCCGGUCUCGUCGGGGGCGGCGUAUUAACCGAGGCCGCCCGUGAACUUGUGACCCGCAAACUAACUGACACUUCACGACUGCGGGGGCCCUGAGCUCAUCACAGAUCCCUCCAAUCAGAUGAUACGGUCUCUGGAGUUUUGGGAGUUCAGCAGAGGUCGAGCCAUGGAGUCUCUCAAAGUCCACGAAAUAUUUUCGGCAAGGACACAAUUACAAGGAUUCAUAUAUAACUCAUCCUCGUGGACUUUCAAAGAAACAGAUCAGAGCCACUUCAAAAAAAAAAAAAAAGGCUCUGCAUCUGUUGCACCAUAGCAUUAGAGGUAUAGCAUCAGAUCUCAGGUUUUGACUCAGCAGCUGCCCUCUGUGUAAUUCUGGAGUCUGAUGAGAUUUUUAUUUUCAGCACCUCAGUGUAAUAAUCCUGUUUGUUUGUCUGUAAUAAGAACUUCAGCAUCUGAAAUGUGGUUGUGGCCACUGGGUCAUCUUGUGUGGUUAACCUCGCCGCGAUAGAUCAACGUCGUGAGUUCCAAAGAUGCCUGUCUCUCUGAUAGCCCCGACAGCCUCAGCGUUCAAAAACGCCAGAGCGUCAAUUCUUUGCAAUUUGCCUUUUACAACCGUUUCUGCUGUUAUUGCAGCAAUUACCUUGUCAUUUAGCAGCCUUCCAAAUUACAGGGCCGGCAGCUGUGAACAUGGUUGCCGUGUACAUACUCGCCGUAACCUCUGCUUCCCUUUGAAAUCUUCCAGUCGUUCAUGCCCCAUUUCCUACCAGCCCUCCAGUGAGCACAACACAACCCGGAGCAGCCCCACCGUGCCAGACGUGUGCGGCUUAUUAUCAUGAGAAAUAUCGCGCGAGUCACCGCGCAGUCGCUCGCAGUUGUGGAAACGGAGCACUCAAACACACGUGUUCCAUAUAAUGAACCAGCGCCAUUAAAAGGAGAUGUUGAGAAACAGG